CCUACGGGAGGCAGCAGUGGGGAAUAUUGCGCAAUGGGCGAAAGCCUGACGCAGCAACGCCGCGUGAGGGAUGACGGCCUUCGGGUUGUAAACCUCUUUCAGCGCCGACGAAGCCUUCGGGUGACUGUAGGCGCAGAAGAAGCACCGGCUAACUACGUGCCAGCAGCCGCGGUAAUACGUAGGGUGCGAGCGUUGUCCGGAAUUAUUGGGCGUAAAGGGCUCGUAGGCGGCCUGUCGCGUCUGCUGUGAAAGCCCAGGGCUUAACCCUGGGUCUGCAGUGGAUACGGGCAGGCUCGAGUCCGGCAGGGGAGACUGGAAUUCCUGGUGUAGCGGUGAAAUGCGCAGAUAUCAGGAGGAACACCGGUGGCGAAGGCGGGUCUCUGGGCCGGUACUGACGCUGAGGAGCGAAAGCGUGGGGAGCGAACAGGAUUAGAUACCCU
rnacentral:rRNA from 1 species